rnacentral:rRNA from 2 species
GGCGAACGGGUGAGUAACACGUGAGUAACCUGCCCUUAACUCUGGGAUAAGCCUGGGAAACUGGGUCUAAUACCGGAUAUGACUUCUCAUCGCAUGGUGGGGGGUGGAAAGCUUUAUUGUGGUUUUGGAUGGACUCGCGGCCUAUCAGCUUGUUGGUGAGGUAAUGGCUCACCAAGGCGACGACGGGUAGCCGGCCUGAGAGGGUGACCGGCCACACUGGGACUGAGACACGGCCCAGACUCCUACGGGAGGCAGCAGUGGGGAAUAUUGCACAAUGGGCGAAAGCCUGAUGCAGCGACGCCGCGUGAGGGAUGACGGCCUUCGGGUUGUAAACCUCUUUCAGUAGGGAAGAAGCGAAAGUGACGGUACCUGCAGAAGAAGCGCCGGCUAACUACGUGCCAGCAGCCGCGGUAAUACGUAGGGCGCAAGCGUUAUCCGGAAUUAUUGGGCGUAAAGAGCUCGUAGGCGGUUUGUCGCGUCUGCCGUGAAAGUCCGGGGCUCAACUCCGGAUCUGCGGUGGGUACGGGCAGACUAGAGUGAUGUAGGGGAGACUGGAAUUCCUGGUGUAGCGGUGAAAUGCGCAGAUAUCAGGAGGAACACCGAUGGCGAAGGCAGGUCUCUGGGCAUUAACUGACGCUGAGGAGCGAAAGCAUGGGGAGCGAACAGGAUUAGAUACCCUGGUAGUCCAUGCCGUAAACGUUGGGCACUAGGUGUGGGGGACAUUCCACGUUUUCCGCGCCGUAGCUAACGCAUUAAGUGCCCCGCCUGGGGAGUACGGCCGCAAGGCUAAAACUCAAAGGAAUUGACGGGGGCCCGCACAAGCGGCGGAGCAUGCGGAUUAAUUCGAUGCAACGCGAAGAACCUUACCAAGGCUUGACAUGAACCGGAAACACCUGGAAACAGGUGCCCCGCUUGCGGUCGGUUUACAGGUGGUGCAUGGUUGUCGUCAGCUCGUGUCGUGAGAUGUUGGGUUAAGUCCCGCAACGAGCGCAACCCUCGUUCUAUGUUGCCAGCGCGUUAUGGCGGGGACUCAUAGGAGACUGCCGGGGUCAACUCGGAGGAAGGUGGGGACGACGUCAAAUCAUCAUGCCCCUUAUGUCUUGGGCUUCACGCAUGCUACAAUGGCCGGUACAAAGGGUUGCGAUACUGUGAGGUGGAGCUAAUCCCAAAAAGCCGGUCUCAGUUCGGAUUGGGGUCUGCAACUCGACCCCAUGAAGUCGGAGUCGCUAGUAAUCGCAGAUCAGCAACGCUGCGGUGAAUACGUUCCCGGGCCUUGUACACACCGCCCGUCAAGUCACGAAAGUUGGUAACA